AUACAGAGGGUGCAAGCGUUGUUCGGAAUUAUUGGGCGUAAAGCGCGUGUAGGCGGCUUUGCAAGUCAGAUGUGAAAGCCCUCGGCUUAACCGAGGAAGUGCGUCUGAAACUGCAGAGCUUGAGUGUCGGAGAGGAUGGCGGAAUUCCGCAAGUAGAGGUGAAAUUCGUAGAUAUGCGGAGGAACACCGGUGGCGAAGGCGGCCAUCUGGACGACUACUGACGCUGAGACGCGAAAGCGUGGGGAGC
rnacentral:rRNA from 1 species